UACGUAGGGUGCGAGCGUUGUCCGGAAUUAUUGGGCGUAAAGGGUGCGUAGGCGGGUCCUUAAGUCAGGGGUGAAAUGCCGAGGCUCAACCUCGGAACUGCCUUUGAUACUGGGGAUCUUGAGUCCGGGAGAGGUGAGUGGAACUGCGAGUGUAGAGGUGAAAUUCGUAGAUAUUCGCAAGAACACCAGUGGCGAAGGCGGCUCACUGGCCCGGAACUGACGCUGAGACGCGAAAGCGUGGGGAGCAAACAGG
rnacentral:rRNA from 1 species